rnacentral:rRNA from 1 species
UACGGGGGGUGCAAGCGUUAUUCGGAUUUACUGGGCGUAAAGAGCGCGUAGGCGGUCUUUUAAGUCAGAUGUGAAAGCCCGGGGCUUAACCCUGGAAGUGCAUUUGAAACUGAAAGGCUUGAGUAUGGGAGAGGGAAGUGGAAUUCCUGGUGUAGAGGUGAAAUUCGUAGAUAUCAGGAGGAACACCGGUGGCGAAGGCGACUUCCUGGACCAAUACUGACGCUGAGGCGCGAAGGCGUGGGUAGCAAACAGGAUUAGAUACCCUGGUAGUCCACGCAGUAAACGGUGAGCACUAGGUGUAGCGGGUAUUGACCCCCGCUGUGCCGCAGCUAACGCAUUAAGUGCUCCGCCUGGGAAGUACGGUCGCAAGGUUAAA